GCUCGAUAGUAAUCAAGCCCUCUUCCUAGUGGUGAGCAGAGACAGCUUGCACUACUUCCUGAAGAGUCCAACUGAAUUAUAUUGGGUAACUUUCAUUCACCAGAGGCAUCAAGUUCUCAAUUUAUUAUACAUUGUAACACAAUUUCCAAUGACCUACUUUAGUGGAAAUCAGGGAUUGUAAACGCACCAAUCAGCAUCCUGUCAAAACGGACCAAUCAGCUCUUUGUAAAAUGGACCAAUCGGCUCUCUGUAAAAUGGACCAAUCAGCAGGAUGUGGGUGGGGCCAGACAAGAGAAUAAAAGCAGGCUGCCCAGCCAGCAGUGGCAACCCGCUGGGGUCCCCUUUGAUCCUGUGGAGGUUUUGUUCUUUCACUCAUUGUAAUAAAUCUUGCUGCUGCUCA
rnacentral:lncRNA from 10 species